rnacentral:rRNA from 1 species
AUCCUGCGGGAAUUGUAAUUUGAAGGUUUCGUGGUCUGAGUCGGCCGCGCCCAAGUCCAUUGGAACAUGGCGCCUGGGAGGGUGAGAGCCCCGUAUGGCGCACGCCGACUCUUUGCACCGCGGCUCCGACGAGUCGAGUUGUUUGGGAAUGCAGCUCUAAGUGGGUGGUAAAUUCCAUCUAAAGCUAAAUAUUGGCGAGAGACCGAUAGCGAACAAGUACAGUGAUGGAAAGAUGAAAAGCACUUUGAAAAGAGAGUGAAACAGCACGUGAAAUUGUUGAAAGGGAAGGGCUUGCAAGCAGACACGGUUUUACCGGGCCAGCGUCAAAUAAACGGGGGGGAAAAGGGGGAAAGAAUGUGGCGCGUGCCUUCGGGUUCGCGUGUUAUAGCUUUCUCUAAUACCCCCAUGUUUGUUUGAGGCCUGCGAUUCUAGGACGCUGGCGUAAUGGUUGCAAGCCGCCCGUCUUGAAACACGGACCAAGGAGUCUAACGUCUAUGCGAGUGUUUGGGUGCAAAACCCCAGCGCGGAAUGAAAGUAAGAGGUUGGAGCCGCAAGGCGCACAAUCGACCGACCCUGAAGUGCUCGGACGGGUUUGAGUAGGAGCAUAGCUGUUGGGACCCGAAAGAUGGUGAACUAUGCCUGGAUAGGGUGAAGCCAGAGGAAACUCUGGUGGAGGCUCGCAGCGGUUCUGACGUGCAAAUCGAUCGUCGAAUCUGGGUAUAGGGCGAAAGACUAAUCGAC